CAGCAGCCGCGGGAAUACGUAGGUGGCAAGCGUUGUCCGGAAUUAUUGGGCGUAAAGGGCUCGCAGGCGGUUUCUUAAGUCUGAUGUGAAAGCCCCCGGCUCAACCGGGGAGGGUCAUUGGAAACUGGGAAACUUGAGUGCAGAAGAGGAGAGUGGAAUUCCACGUGUAGCGGUGAAAUGCGUAGAGAUGUGGAGGAACACCAGUGGCGGAGGCGACUCUCUGGUCUGUAACUGACGCUGAGGAGCGAAAGCGUGGGGAGCGAACAGGACUAGAGACCCCCGUAGUCCCUGUCUCUUAUAC
rnacentral:rRNA from 1 species